rnacentral:tRNA from 1 species
GAAUAGGUGCCGGAGUGGUCGAACGGGGCGGUCUCGAAAACCGUUGACCCUUCACGUUGUCCCAGGGUUCGAAUCCCUGUCUCUCCG